rnacentral:rRNA from 1 species
GAUGAACGCUGGCGGCGUGCCUAAUACAUGCAAGUCGAGCGAACGGACGAGAAGCUUGCUUCUCUGAUGUUAGCGGCGGACGGGUGAGUAACACGUGGAUAACCUACCUAUAAGACUGGGAUAACUUCGGGAAACCGGAGCUAAUACCGGAUAAUAUUUUGAUCCGCAUGGUUCAAAAGUAAAAGACGGUCUUGCUGUCACUUAUAGAUGGAUCCGCGCUGCAUUAGCUAGUUGGUAAGGUAACGGCUUACCAAGGCAACGAUGCAUAGCCGACCUGAGAGGGUGAUCGGCCACACUGGAACUGAGACACGGUCCAGACUCCUACGGGAGGCAGCAGUAGGGAAUCUUCCGCAAUGGGCGAAAGCCUGACGGAGCAACGCCGCGUGAGUGAUGAAGGUCUUCGGAUCGUAAAACUCUGUUAUUAGGGAAGAACAUAUGUGUAAGUAACUGUGCACAUCUUGACGGUACCUAAUCAGAAAGCCACGGCUAACUACGUGCCAGCAGCCGCGGUAAUACGUAGGUGGCAAGCGUUAUCCGGAAUUAUUGGGCGUAAAGCGCGCGUAGGCGGUUUUUUAAGUCUGAUGUGAAAGCCCACGGCUCAACCGUGGAGGGUCAUUGGAAACUGGAAAACUUGAGUGCAGAAGAGGAAAGUGGAAUUCCAUGUGUAGCGGUGAAAUGCGCAGAGAUAUGGAGGAACACCAGUGGCGAAGGCGACUUUCUGGUCUGUAACUGACGCUGAUGUGCGAAAGCGUGGGGAUCAAACAGGAUUAGAUACCCUGGUAGUCCACGCCGUAAACGAUGAGUGCUAAGUGUUAGGGGGUUUCCGCCCCUUAGUGCUGCAGCUAACGCAUUAAGCACUCCGCCUGGGGAGUACGACCGCAAGGUUGAAACUCAAAGGAAUUGACGGGGACCCGCACAAGCGGUGGAGCAUGUGGUUUAAUUCGAAGCAACGCGAAGAACCUUACCAAAUCUUGACAUCCUUUGACAACUCUAGAGAUAGAGCCUUCCCCUUCGGGGGACAAAGUGACAGGUGGUGCAUGGUUGUCGUCAGCUCGUGUCGUGAGAUGUUGGGUUAAGUCCCGCAACGAGCGCAACCCUUAAGCUUAGUUGCCAUCAUUAAGUUGGGCACUCUAAGUUGACUGCCGGUGACAAACCGGAGGAAGGUGGGGAUGACGUCAAAUCAUCAUGCCCCUUAUGAUUUGGGCUACACACGUGCUACAAUGGACAAUACAAAGGGCAGCGAAACCGCGAGGUCAAGCAAAUCCCAUAAAGUUGUUCUCAGUUCGGAUUGUAGUCUGCAACUCGACUACAUGAAGCUGGAAUCGCUAGUAAUCGUAGAUCAGCAUGCUACGGUGAAUACAAUGCCGGGUCU